rnacentral:rRNA from 1 species
UACAGAGGUCUCAAGCGUUGUUCGGAUUCAUUGGGCGUAAAGGGUGCGUAGGCGGCGCGGUAAGUCGGGUGUGAAAUCUCGGGCUUAACUCCGAAACUGCAUUCGAUACUGCCGUGCUUGAGGACUGGAGAGGAGACUGGAAUUUACGGUGUAGCGGUGAAAUGCGUAGAUAUCGUAAGGAAGACCAGUGGCGAAGGCGGGUCUCUGGACAGUUCCUGACGCUGAGGCACGAAGGCCCAGGGGAGCAAACAGG